CCCUUAGAUGUUCUGGGCCGCACGCGCGCUACACUGAUGCAUUCAACGAGCCUAUCCUUGACCGACAGGUCCGGGUAAUCUUUGAAUCUGCAUCGUGACGGGGAUAGAUUAUUGCAAUUAUUAAUCUUCCACGAGGAAUGCCUAGUAGGCGCAAGUCAUCAGCUUGCGUCGAUUACGUCCCUGCCCUUUGUACACACCGCCCGUCGCUCCUACCGAUUGGGUGUGCUGGUGAAAUGUUCGGAUCGGCCGUUUGUCGCGGUUUCCGCGUCAUGUGGCUGAGAAGUUCAUUAAACCCUCCCACCUAGAGGAAGGAGAAGUCGUAACA
rnacentral:rRNA from 1 species